AAUUGAGGCUGCUCCCUGCCUGGGGCCUACCCUAACGCAAAAGCCCAUUGGCUAGAAUUGCUUAAAUGUCCCAUACAAAUAUAAACACCUCGAUAGUGCUGGGAAGAUUAAAGGAACAGCUUAUUGAUAUUGUAUAUGCUCUUGUUUGGAUGUGUGACGGGGAAGACAGCAUUUAACUGCUGGUAUGCAAUGCUGAACCUGGACUGCAUGAAGAGGUUUUCGUUCACUGAUGUUGGAUGUGUGCCCAGACUGCCAUAGUAGAAUUUAGGGAAAACACAGAAAGGAGGAGAGACACAGAAUGGUUUUUGGGAACAUCCAUGUGGGGCAGAAGAAUAAAUACAUGUGAAGACCAUGUUUCCAGAAAUGAAAUGACUGGCCACUGGGCAACAGUUAUGAGUCCCCCAAAUCCCUUCCUGGUCCUCUCCAUUUGCACUUGAAGGUAGGAGCCGGAAAAAGACCUCACUAACUC
rnacentral:lncRNA from 1 species